GAUGAAGAACGCAGCGAAAUGCGAUAAGUAAUGUGAAUUGCAGAAUUCAGUGAAUCAUCGAGUCUUUGAACGCACAUUGCGCCCCCUGGUAUUCCGGGGGGCAUGCCUGUCCGAGCGUCAUUGCUGCCCUCAAGCACGGCUUGUGUGUUGGGCCCCGUCCUCCGAUCCCGGGGGACGGGCCCGAAAGGCAGCGGCGGCACCGCGUCCGGUCCUCGAGCGUAUGGGGCUUUGUCACCCGCUCUGUAGGCCCGGCCGGCGCUUGCCGAUCAACCCAAAUUUUUAUCCAGGUUGACCUCGGAUCAGGUAGGGAUACCCGCUGAACUUAAGCAUAUCAAUAAGCGGAGG
rnacentral:misc_RNA from 1 species